AUUGAACGCUGGCGGCAUGCCUUACACAUGCAAGUCGAACGGCAGCACGGGUGCUUGUACCUGGUGGCGAGUGGCGAACGGGUGAGUAAUACAUCGGAACAUGUCCUGUAGUGGGGGAUAGCCCGGCGAAAGCCGGAUUAAUACCGCAUACGAUCUACGGAUGAAAGCGGGGGACCUUCGGGCCUCGCGCUAUAGGGUUGGCCGAUGGCUGAUUAGCUAGUUGGUGGGGUAAAGGCCUACCAAGGCGACGAUCAGUAGUUGGUCUGAGAGGACGACCAGCCACACUGGGACUGAGACACGGCCCAGACUCCUACGGGAGGCAGCAGUGGGGAAUUUUGGACAAUGGGCGAAAGCCUGAUCCAGCAAUGCCGCGUGUGUGAAGAAGGCCUUCGGGUUGUAAAGCACUUUUGUCCGGAAAGAAAUCCUUGGCCCUAAUACGGUCGGGGGAUGACGGUACCGGAAGAAUAAGCACCGGCUAACUACGUG
rnacentral:rRNA from 1 species